rnacentral:rRNA from 1 species
UACGAAGGGUGCAAACGUUGCUCGGAAUUAUUGGGCGUAAAGCGCACGUAGGCGGCUUGGCAAGUCGGAUGUGAAAUCCCUCGGCUCAACCAAGGAAGUGCAUCCGAAACUGCUGAGCUUGAGUACUUAAGAGGAUCGCGGAAUUCCCGGUGUAGAGGUGAAAUUCGUAGAUAUUCGCAAGAACACCAGUGGCGAAGGCGGCUCACUGGCCCGAUACUGACGCUGAGGUGCGAAAGCGUGGGGAGCAAACAGG